rnacentral:rRNA from 1 species
AGCAGCCGCGGUAAUUCCAGCUCCAAUAGCGUAUAUUAAAGUUGUUGCAGUUAAAAAGCUCGUAGUUGAAUUUCGGGAUCAAUACGUCGGUCGUGCUUCGGUACGUACUGGCGUAAUUGGUUUCUACCUUCUGAAGAACCUCGAUGUCAUUAAUUUGGUGUCUUGGGGAAUCAGGACUGUUACUUUGAAAAAAUUAGAGUGUUUAAAGCAGGCAUUAGCUUGAAUACAUUAGCAUGGAAUAAUGAAAUAGGACGUUCGAACCUAUUUUGUUGGUUUCUAGGAUUGACGUAAUGAUUAAUAGGGAUAGUUGGGGGCAUUAGUAUUCAAUUGUCAGAGGUGAAAUUCUUGGAUUUAUUGAAGACUAACUACUGCGAAAGCAUUUGCCAAGGAUGUUUUCAUUAAUCAAGAACGGAAGUUAGGGGAUCGAAGACGAUCAGAUACCGUCGUAGUCUUAACCAUAAACUAUGCCGACUAGGGAUCGGAUGAUGUUAAUUUUUAAUGACUCAUUCGCGCCUUACGG